rnacentral:tRNA from 1 species
AGGUAAUUGUGUGUAAUUCUGUGACUACAUCACUUCUAAGGAUGUGGUCGUAGGUUCGAAUCCUACAGGGCGUGCCA